rnacentral:siRNA from 1 species
UUGGGGGUGCUCUUAGUUACCCA